UGCCCACUGAUAUUUAUAUUAAAGGGCUGCAGUAUUUUGACUGUACAAAGGUAGCAUAAUAAAUAGUCAUUUAAUUGAUGACUUGUAUGAAGGAUUGGAUGAAAUAUAAACUGUCUUAAAUAUAAAUUUAGAAUUUAAUUUUUUAGUUAAAAAGCUAAAAUAAGUUAAAAAGACGAGAAGACCCUAUAGAGUUUAAUUAAUAUUUAAAUUAAAAUAAUUUUUAUUAAUUAAAAUUAAAUUUAAUAAUUAAUUUUGUUGGGGUGAUAAAAAAAUUAAAAUAACUUUUUUUAAAAAUUUACAUUGAUAAUUGAGUAAUUGAUCCAAUUUUAUUGAUUAUAAGAAAAAAUUACCUUAGGGAUAACAGCGUAAUUUUUUUUUUAGUUCAUAUAAAAAAAAGAGUUUGCGACCUCGAUGUUGGAUUAAGAUAAAAUUUAAAAGUAGAAGUUUAAAGUUUUUG
rnacentral:rRNA from 1 species